rnacentral:rRNA from 1 species
AACGAACGCUGGCGGCAUGCCUAACACAUGCAAGUCGAACGAGACCUUCGGGUCUAGUGGCGCACGGGUGCGUAACGCGUGGGAACCUGCCCUUAGGUUCGGUAUAACUCCCCGAAAGGGGUGCUAAUACCGGAUAAUGUCUUCGGACCAAAGAUUUAUUGCCUUUGGAUGGGCCCGCGUUGGAUUAGCUGGUUGGUAGGGUAAAAGCCUCCCAAGGCGACGAUCCAUAGCUGGUGUGAGAGGAUGAUCAGCCACACUGGGACUGAGACACGGCCCAGACUCCUACGGAAGGCAGCAGUGGGGAAUAUUGGACAAUGGGCGCAGGCCUGACAAAGCAAUGUCGGGUGAGUGAUGAAGCCCGUAGGGUUGUAAAGUUCUUUUACCCGGGAUGAUAAUGACAGUACCGGGAGAAUAAGCUCCGGCUAACUACGUG